UGCAACCAGUGUGACUCAGAGAGAAAUACCUGGGCACAGAAAUGGGAUUUUUAAAUUUCAAAUCCAUUUGUCGAUUUAUCUUAAUUUGAAAUGAUUUAUUUUAAUGGUAUUGGUGUCAUGGUACCUCUGGGAGUCCUGUCCCCCCUCCCUUCUCUGCCCUGUCAUCCACAGAUUGGACCCAGCUGCCGGCACUUCCCUCAUCAACCCUGCAGAUGGCCUGAUUCUAGCUUUCAUCGCCAGUUCGUUGCCUACUAUGGACAAACCUCAUCCACUAAGUGCCGACCUGGGUUCAUCUCCUGAUCGUUCAUACGACCUCGUCGUCUAGACAUCCAUCCACGCCAUUCCUAUACGCCUCGCUCCGCCACCUGCCCACCUUAUUCACCUCACCACAAAGAACCCACAACCAGCAAAAGGAUUACUUACCGUCUGGUUUCCUCCCCGCCUCACCCUCCUCCAGAAGAGGCUACGAUGGAACAUUAACACCUCCGUGCAGUGAUGUCUCCACACAUCACUCAGCAGUGUGACCAGAUGGACAGCCUCUCAUGUAUGCAGUUUGCUGCUACUGCACCCCACGAGCAGACAGGUCCAAAUUCACAGGUGAGCCACCUCAUUUACAUAAAAAAACAAAAACCUCUCUACAUAUGUGUAGAGCUCACACAUUUAUCAGGUAAUUCCUUCAUGUCUGACUAACAAUCAGCGUAAAUUACAGUUAUUAAGUGAUGUUUGGGAGGUUUCGA